GUGUGUGUAGGAGUGUGUGUCGCUAUAGUAAUAAUACUGAUCUACAAGAGGACACCAGAUAAUAACUUGUCAUCCAGUCAAGUUAAAGUGUCUGAUGCAGACAGUGUAACGUACGCUGUGGUCGACCU